AGCGCAGUGGCAGAGCGGUUCUGCAUCUGCAUCUCGUUGACUUUGACAUCUCUAAUGUGCAUGUAUUUAAUUUAGACGUCGCCGGUUCAACUCCGGCCUGGGCCG